rnacentral:tRNA from 1 species
GGGGCCGUAGCUCAAAUGGUCAGAGGCCCGGCUUUUACCCGGCGCGAUCUAGGUUCGAUCCCUAGCGGUCCCA